rnacentral:rRNA from 1 species
CAUUACAUUAGUCUGAAUUAUUAAACUAUAAUAAAUUUAGUUAUUUAUUUUUUUAUAUAAUUUUUAUAUAAAGGCUAAUUCCCUUUUGCAUUAUGGUCAAUUGAAAUUUAUCAAAAAAUUCUCCGUCCCGAAAAAGUAAUAUUUAGUUAGAUUUAUGGUGUUAGUUUAAAAUCACAGAUAAAAAUUUAACUUAAAGUGAUAUGCUUUAUUUACUUAUAUCUGGUUUUUCAGCUUUAUUUGAUUUAAUCAUUAUAGAAUCUCAAAAUAAUGAUAAUAAGAAAAGUUAUUAUCAGUUUCUAAGAAAAUAAAUUUUACUUACUACCCUAAUGAUUAAAAUUAUCAUUUAAAUGUAAAAGUUUAUUCUGGAUUUAAUUUAUAUUGUUCUUACUGAAGCUGUUAAUUUAAUUAAUAUUAAAUUAAAUUAAACUAUAAUUGUAUUAGUAAAAUUAUUUGUGCUAAAUAUCAAAAUAAAAAUCAAACUUGAUUAUUUCAAAAAUAAAUUAUUAAGUACUCGACAAACCCUCUCCAAACUGUUUAUCAAAAACAUCGCCUUAAUUAAAGGCACCCUCUGCUCAAUGAACAAUUUCAAUAGCCGCUUUGGCGCUAAGGUAGCGUAAUAAUUAGCCUUUUAAUUGAGGGCAAGUAUGAAAGAGAGAAUUGGGAGACUAAUUUUUAUAAUUAAAAUGAAUUUUUGUAGUAGUGAAAAAACUACUAUUUUAUUUCAAGACGAUAAGACCCUAUGAAGCUGAUUACUAAUUUUUGAUUAUGAAAAAGUAAAGUAAAUUGUUUGGGGAAAAACUUAAUAUUUUUAUUAAUAUUUAGAUAUCUAAUGAUCUUAAUUAAAUUUUAAGAAAAAGCUACUCUAGGGAUAACAGCGUAAUAAUAAUUAGAGACCUCAUCGAAAUUAUUGUUUGCGACCUCGAUGUUGAAUUAUGGAGAUUUUCUGGAGCAGCAUCUAGAAAAUAAAGUCUGUUCGACUUAUAUUCCAUACAUGAUUUGAGUUUAGAUCGAUGCGAAUCAGAUUGGUUUCUAUCUGAAAUUUAAAUAUGGGCUUUUAGUACGAAAGGAAUUAACUCCGUUUU